rnacentral:rRNA from 1 species
GGUUAAGCGACUAAGCGUACACGGUGGAUGCCCUGGCAGUCAGAGGCGAUGAAGGACGUGCUAAUCUGCGAAAAGCGCCGGCGAGGUGAUAUGAACCCUUGACCCGGCGAUGUCCGAAUGGGGAAACCCAGUGUGUUCCGACACACUAUCGUUAACUGAAUACAUAGGUUAACGAGGCGAACCGGGGGAACUGAAACAUCUAAGUACCCCGAGGAAAAGAAAUCAACCGAGAUUCCCCCAGUAGCGGCGAGCGAACGGGGAGCAGCCCGGAGUCUGAAUCAGCUUGUGUGUUAGUGGAACGGUCUGGAAAGUCCGACGGUACAGGGUGAUAGUCCCGUACACGAAAACACACUUGCUGUGAACUCGAAGAGUAGGGCGGGACACGUGGUAUCCUGUCUGAAUAUGGGGGGACCAUCCUCCAAGGCUAAAUACUCCUGACUGACCGAUAGUGAACCAGUACCGUGAGGGAAAGGCGAAAAGAACCCCGGCGAGGGGAGUGAAAAAGAACCUGAAACCGUGUACGUACAAGCAGUGGGAGCACCUUCGGGUGUGACUGCGUACCUUUUGUAUAAUGGGUCAGCGACUUAUAUUCUGUAGCAAGGUUAACCGUAUAGGGGAGCCGAAGGGAAACCGAGUCUUAACUGGGCGUUAAGUUGCAGGGUAUAGACCCGAAACCCGGUGAUCUAGCCAUGGGCAGGUUGAAGGUUGGGUAACACUAACUGGAGGACCGAACCGACUAAUGUUGAAAAAUUAGCGGAUGACCUGUGGCUGGGGGUGAAAGGCCAAUCAAACCGGGAGAUAGCUGGUUCUCCCCGAAAGCUAUUUAGGUAGCGCCUCGUGAACUCAUCUUCGGGGGUAGAGCACUGUUUCGGCUAGGGGGCCAUCCCGGCUUACCAACCCGAUGCAAACUACGAAUACCGAAGAAUGUUAUCACGGGAGACACACGGCGGGUGCUAACGUCCGUCGUGAAGAGGGAAACAACCCAGACCGCCAGCUAAGGUCCCAAAGUCAUGGUUAAGUGGGAAACGAUGUGGGAAGGCACAGACAGCCAGGAUGUUGGCUUAGAAGCAGCCAUCAUUUAAAGAAAGCGUAAUAGCUCACUGGUCGAGUCGGCCUGCGCGGAAGAUGUAACGGGGCUAAACCAUGCACCGAAGCUGCGGCAGCGACGCUUAUGCGUUGUUGGGUAGGGGAGCGUUCUGUAAGCCGUUGAAGGUGUGCUGUGAGGCAUGCUGGAGGUAUCAGAAGUGCGAAUGCUGACAUAAGUAACGAUAAAGCGGGUGAAAAGCCCGCUCGCCGGAAGACCAAGGGUUCCUGUCCAACGUUAAUCGGGGCAGGGUGAGUCGACCCCUAAGGCGAGGCCGAAAGGCGUAGUCGAUGGGAAACAGGUUAAUAUUCCUGUACUUGGUGUUACUGCGAAGGGGGGACGGAGAAGGCUAUGUCAGCCGGGCGACGGUUGUCCCGGUUUAAGCAUGUAGGCGGAGGUUCCAGGUAAAUCCGGUACCUUUUAACGCUGAGGUGUGAUGACGAGGCACUACGGUGCUGAAGUGAUAAAUGCCCUGCUUCCAGGAAAAGCCUCUAAGCAUCAGGUAACACGAAAUCGUACCCCAAACCGACACAGGUGGUCAGGUAGAGAAUACCAAGGCGCUUGAGAGAACUCGGGUGAAGGAACUAGGCAAAAUGGUGCCGUAACUUCGGGAGAAGGCACGCUGAUAGGUAGGUGAAGCCCCUGCGGGCGGAGCUGAAAUCAGUCGAAGAUACCAGCUGGCUGCAACUGUUUAUUAAAAACACAGCACUGUGCAAACACGAAAGUGGACGUAUACGGUGUGACGCCUGCCCGGUGCCGGAAGGUUAAUUGAUGGGGUUAGCGGCAACGCGAAGCUCUUGAUCGAAGCCCCGGUAAACGGCGGCCGUAACUAUAACGGUCCUAAGGUAGCGAAAUUCCUUGUCGGGUAAGUUCCGACCUGCACGAAUGGCGUAAUGAUGGCCAGGCUGUCUCCACCCGAGACUCAGUGAAAUUGAACUCGCUGUGAAGAUGCAGUGUACCCGCGGCAAGACGGAAAGACCCCGUGAACCUUUACUAUAGCUUGACACUGAACACUGGUCCUUGAUGUGUAGGAUAGGUGGGAGGCUUUGAAGCGUGGACGCCAGUCUGCGUGGAGCCGCCCUUGAAAUACCACCCUUUAAUGGCUGGUGUUCUAACGUAGACCCGUGAUCCGGGUUGCGGACAGUGUCUGGUGGGUAGUUUGACUGGGGCGGUCUCCUCCCAAAGAGUAACGGAGGAGCACGAAGGUUGGCUAAUCCUGGUCGGACAUCAGGAGGUUAGUGCAAUGGCAUAAGCCAGCUUGACUGCGAGCGUGACGGCGCGAGCAGGUGCGAAAGCAGGUCAUAGUGAUCCGGUGGUUCUGAAUGGAAGGGCCAUCGCUCAACGGAUAAAAGGUACUCCGGGGAUAACAGGCUGAUACCGCCCAAGAGUUCAUAUCGACGGCGGUGUUUGGCACCUCGAUGUCGGCUCAUCACAUCCUGGGGCUGAAGUAGGUCCCAAGGGUAUGGCUGUUCGCCAUUUAAAGUGGUACGCGAGCUGGGUUUAGAACGUCGUGAGACAGUUCGGUCCCUAUCUGCCGUGGGCGCUGGAGAAUUGAGGGGGGCUGCUCCUAGUACGAGAGGACCGGAGUGGACGCAUCACUGGUGUUCGGGUUGUCAUGCCAAUGGCACUGCCCGGUAGCUAAAUGCGGAAGAGAUAAGUGCUGAAAGCAUCUAAGCACGAAACUUGCCCCGAGAUGAGUUCUCCCUGAGACCUUGAGUCUCCUGAAGGAACGUUGAAGACGACGACGUUGAUAGGUCGGGUGUGUAAGCGCAGCGAUGCGUUGAGCUAACCGAUACUAAUGAACCGUGAGGCUUAACCUU